rnacentral:rRNA from 1 species
CCCGCUGAACUUAAGCAUAUCAAAA